GGUGGUGCAUGGUUGUCGUCAGCUCGUGUCGUGAGAUGUUGGGUUAAGUCCCGCAACGAGCGCAACCCUCGACCUUAGUUGCCAGCAUUCAGUUGGGCACUCUAAGGUGACUGCCGGCUAAAAGUCGGAGGAAGGUGGGGAUGACGUCAAAUCAUCAUGCCCCUUAUGACCUGGGCUACACACGUGCUACAAUGGGCGGUACAAAGGGUCGCGAACCCGCGAGGGGGAGCCAAUCCCAAAAAAGCCGCUCUCAGUUCGGAUUGCAGGCUGCAACUCGCCUGCAUGAAGCCGGAAUCGCUAGUAAUCGCGGAUCAGCAUGCCGCGGUGAAUACGUUCCCGGGCCUU
rnacentral:rRNA from 1 species